CCUACGGGUGGCAGCAGUAGGGAAUAUUGCUCAAUGGGGGAAACCCCGAAGCAGCAACGCCGCGUGGAGGAUGAAGGUUUUCGGAUUGUAAACUCCUUUUGUUAGAGAAGAUAAUGACGGUAUCUAACGAAUAAGCACCGGGUAACUCCGGGCCAGCAGCCGCGGUAACACGGAGGAUGCGAGCGUUAGCCGGAUUUAUGGGGUUUAAAGGGUGGGCAGGCGGAAGAUCAAGUCAGCGGUAAAAUGGAGAGGCUCAACCUCUUCGAGCCGUUGAAACUGGUUUUCUUGAGUGAGGGAGAAGUAUGCGGAAUGCGGGGUGUAGCGGUGAAAUGCAUAGAUAUCGCGAAGAACUCCGAUUGCGAAGGCAGCAUACCGGCGCUCAACUGACGCUGAUGCACGAAGGUGUGGGGAGCGAACAGGAUUAGAUACCCGAGUAGUC
rnacentral:rRNA from 1 species